rnacentral:tRNA from 1 species
UCUAAUGUGGCAGAAUUAAAUGUUGUGAGCUUAAAAUUCAUUUAUAAAUAUUAAUAUUUCUUUAGAA